rnacentral:lncRNA from 1 species
GCCAAGGGAAUUUGCGGAGCCUAGAGGGAGGCAGCAGGCUGCUUCUGCGUCAGUUUCACAGCCUGUGCUCAGACAGGUACUUAAGCAUCUCACAUCCAUAAAUCUCAUCUCCUAUCUAGAGUCAGCAAAUAAGAGAAAGGGCAGGCUGCCGCUCUGCUACCAUCUGAUCUUCUUACCAACCUCCCCCUGCCCCCCCCCCCCAAGGCAAGCAUCCCUCUGCCCUCCCUCAUCUGCUCCUGGCCUGUCAGUUUAAUUUAACAAGGUUGCAGGAGAGGUUUGAUUUAAUCAAACCAGUUGCUGUAUCCAUUCUGUGCAGAGGUCCCUCAGUGUCACCACCGAGGCUCAGAUUAGACAGUGACAAUUACUUCUUCUUCUAUUGCCUCCCCUUUUGUUUCUCUCCCUGGAGGGAACAAGGAGGCAGACCAAUCUCCUGGGACCUAAGAAUAGAUGCAGGAGGAUCAAAGGAGGGAAGCAGGCUCUGGCCUGAGAAAGCCCCUCUCUGUGCCUUACAUGGCCUUGUUUAAGGCUGAGCAACAGCCUGAGGGAUGGGAGGAAUAGAAAAUGUGAGCAGAGUGGCUCUGGAAAGGCUCGAGGCUGCCUGAGGACAUAGUGGUGCCAUCAUCUGUGCCAUCAUGAAUGGUCCCUGGAGAUAAAACAAGUCUUCCUUAUUGUCAGGAAACUGAGCGGAUGGUGGGCUGAGGGAGCAGAGUAGCUGUAUGCUCUGCAUACCCCAGACCAUUCAUUUCCAAGUUCUCAGCCUGGAUUCUGAGGUCUCCGGAGCUGGGAGACAACAACAACAAAAAAUUGUGAGACUCCAUCCAUCUGAGUUUCUGUGGCUCUGUUCUUGGCCUGAAAGCAGCAGUGAUAGGAGGAGCAGCCCCCUGAACCAGGGGUGCAAGGGAGGCUGUGUGGAUGUAGGAUAACUGUAGUGUGUGUCUUGGGAAGGAGAGGAACUGUGCUGUGGGGUGUGUGUGUUAUGUAUAUGAAUGUCAGUGGUGGAGAACCAGGCAGGGCAUCUCUGGUGCAGGGGCUUCAGGGUUUAGGGAGUUUAGAAUUCCAGAACAAAUCUUUCUUCUUGCUGUUUCACUCUUUCAUUUCCCUUCUUUUCCAGGAAGCAGAUGCUCAGCAUCUCUUGCUCCUUGAGCAGCUCCCAGAAGAGAGACAAAAGCCUCUUGAAGGGGACCCUCGCUUAGGGUAAUGGGAAUCCUUUUCCCUUUUGCUCAUUUGUGUCACAUUCUUCCAUUGGGCUGGGCAACUGACAGGUGCACCCCUCCCCGGGCCCCUUUCAGAGUGCCCUCCCUGCCAUUUGUCUCUUACCCAGAUAUCCAACAGACACCAUCAUCGGCAGGAGCCGAAUAUGAUUAGCAGAAACCCUUCCUGACAGCUCCAAAGAGAAUCCCACAAAUGCAUAUUCUAUUGAGUGCAUCUCAUUGCUGCUGACAGCCGCUUUAUCAAUUAAAUUCCACAUUCCCAGUCUUCGGAGAUGCCAUGAACCUCCCUACCUAAUAAAUCACAGGCCCCCAGUUAUUGUUAAAUGUCCCAUCAGUCUCUAAUAAACUCCCUGCCAACAGGGGUAGGUUAUUUAUUAUGCUGCCUGGACAAGAAUGAAUGGGGCCCCGUUCUCACAAGGAGAAGAGCAAACGUACCGCCUUCCUCCCUGAAGACUGAGGCUGUGGUAUUAAAUGGGGCAAUUAAUCAACACGGGCCUUGGGCAGCGGGGAGUCUGGCCCACAGUGAGGGAGGAUGGCCUGCGGUUCUUUACCGAAAGCCAGCCAGGCAAAUCUCCACGGCAGGAGGUGGCAGUGCAGGGUGCAGGGGCCCGGACCUUUGCUGCAUCUCCCCCUCUCCUAAUUCCUGUCUGAAAAGGUACCAAAGAUGUAGUCACCCCAUAGGUCAUGAGGCACGUGUAAAAAGUUAUUCUCCAUGUUGGGAAGUAGCCACGUAGGAUUGAGCAGGGUCACGAAACAAUAACUUCUGUCCAGAAGGCCAGAUAUUAUCACUUGAUAAACUUGAUAUAACUUAAGUUUAUUGAUGGUGCUAGUCCACUGAGCAGAUGAACUGAAGAAUACAGAUGGGAAAGAGAACUAGGAAGCAUGUGCUCAGUCCCUGUUCGCUGGAUAAAUAGUACAUGGUAAGCACUGGCCCAUGGAAAGCGGUGCAUCAACACUUAAAGGAGCCAGGAGCUAUGAGUGCAAGAAACAGUGUGUAAGUUGGGCCUUGCUGUUACCUGCCACAAAUUAGAUCCCAAACUUAGAUGAUGCUUCAUGGUCUGCAAGUUAAAACCCGAACUCCUCACCUUUGCCGUUAAUCAAGCCCCAAUCUACAUUUCCAACUGAAUUUCUCUAUUUCUCUUUAUUGCUACCUAACUACCCCCUUUGGGAGAGCAUGACACCUUCACUUUAUAUUCCUUAUGGUGGCAGGCAAGGUCUUCCAUAGUGGGACCAAUAUAUCCCUGCAGCCUCUUUCCUGGUAAUUGCUGCCAUACUUGCCUCCGUUCACAGUAAAGCUCAUACCUUCCCUAAACUACUGCGGUUUCUCAGGCUUCCACGCCUUUGCACAAACUGUUCCUUUUGCCCAGAAUAUCUUUCUAGCUUGUCUGCCUGGGGAGCUCUCCUUCCACCCCCACUGCCUGAUGAAUUCCUUAUCUAUGCUUCAGGAUCAGCUCACAAAAUCAGCCCCUCAGUGCUUCCCUGGACCUGAGGUUUGUCUCCUGAUGCUGCUGUCUUGGCAGAAGUGCUGGACUCCAGGGACUAGCAAAACGCAUCUUCAGGACCCCUCUCCCAUGGGAUUACCAUGCCAGAGAGCCUCCCACAUGUGGAUCUUCACCCUGUACGUGUGCGGCGCGCGAAGGGGGUGAGAGAGAACGACCAGCAUUAUGAUAGAAGGACAAGGUGAAACUUGGGGCUGGAUUCAGAGUCUCUCUAGGUUUGGAAUUGUGAAUAAGAUUAGGUUCCAGACACACUUAAAUUUGGAAUUAUGACUAAGACUUUGUUAUAGGAGCUCAUUUAUUCAAUAAAUAUCGAGCACUUAGUAUUUGUCAGAUUCUGUUUUUCCCCAUUAGGGAUUCAGCAGAGAACAAGACAGAGCAGGUCCCUGCCCUCAUAGAGUGGCAGAGACAGACAAUAAACACAUGAUUUCAGGUAGUGAUAAGCACCUGAAGAAAAAUAAAGCAGAACAAGAGAACAGAGUGGUGGGAGAGGCAGGGAGCGGACAGAUGGG